AUGGGAGUGUGAGUGCGUCCUACUCCAGCUCGAACCGAGUCGAGGCUAGACCGAGUCGAUCUGGGCAUCCAGCUGCUACUGCUAGACCUCCAGCAGAGGGAAAGGCAGGGAGUGAAGAAGGAAGGAAGGAUAGAAGGAGGAGAAGAUUUGUGAGAGAGAGGAAAAGUGAGUGAGUGCAAGCUGCACUAGCUGCCGGGUUGACUCAACCGAGUCGGCUCAGUUUGAGUGUAAUCGAGGCUGGCGUCAUUUGAUGCAGCAGCACCUGCAAACCUUGUUGGAGAGGCUUUGAUCCUGUUUAGUGCCCGAGAAGCUCGACCUCAUAUCAAGUGGUAUCAAGCCGUGUAGCCAUGGUAGCACAGGUGGCUUAAGUGAUAUGCAAGUUCAGACUGAUGAGGAGUCGUUAUAGUGGUCAAGGACACGUGGUUGUACCUAUCAAGGAAGUUGCGCGAUCUUUCGGCUUUCGUUUGUGUUUCAUAUGCUUUUAAAUUUCUCAUGUGUGUAAUCUUGUAUUUGUUAUUGUGGAGACAUUGGUUUGUAUAAGUCAUUAUGGGCAACCUCUUGUAUAUUCUAAAUGUAAUUGCAAAUUUUCCUUUAUGCUUAUUU